UUCGGCGGUUAUACUAAGGAGGUAACACCCGUUCCCUUUCCGAACACGGCAGUUAAGCUCUAUUAGGUCGAUGGUACUGCACUAGCAAUGGUGUGGAAGAGUAGAUUAUCGCCGAUU
rnacentral:rRNA from 1 species